GGAGAAGUACCGAACCGGGCUAAACCCGCAGGAGAAGGUGAAGCUAGAGAAGGAGCCCAUGGGGCAGUUCGUGGAUGACGACAUCAGGGACCUGCCAAGAUCUCCAUGGAGGAGAUCGACGCCGCCAAGCCCACCAAGGACAACGUCGACGUCCGCCUCAAGUGGCUCGGCCUCUUCCACCGCUACAAGCACCAGUGUACACCCACUGAUUCUACACCCCCUGCAAUGGUUGUUGUUGCUGUUGGUAGGAGCGACCCCGCGAGCGUGACACAGACAAAGCAGCCUUCGGUGCCAGGUUCGAUUUGGUUUCUGCAAAGUUUAUCACUCCUACAUUUUCACAAUUAGUUUCUACAAAUUAUAUCACUCCAUUUCACUCCUAUGAAAUUACUGUGACUUAAUUUCAAUCGAGGUCAUUCUUCUUGCUCCUUCGCUUUGCUUAGCAGUAAAGACAAUAACUUCCUUUACCUUGCUCAAUAGUUUGCCUUUUAAUUUGAACAAAAAUCUAAUCACUUGACAUUGCAUGGGAGGUAAGCUCCUGUUUUUCACAAACUUUAUCGGUGGACAGUUCAUAGUCCUAACAGACCCAUUAGUCCGAUAGAACAGUUAGCAUUAGGUAAUUAUUUUGGCAUUGGCAAUUUUGAUCUACUCCUAUUUUAAAACGCCAUCAUAGGGGUGCUUGCAUUUCUUGUUCAUGGUUUUAUUGCUCAAGUAAAAAUGUCUGCUUUUUAUAUUACUUAUUACAUAUGCAUGGAAAAGCAUGUAGAAGGUAACACCAAUAAAGUUUGGAUCAUAUGUUUCCAUCUAUAAUUGUUGUCUUGGUAUUCUCAAUGAGUGGACUUGUGCAUCGGCAUAAUUUGUAGUCUCCAUAAGGAUGCUAAUGAUAGGUCCUCAACACAAGCCUUAUUGGUAAGCUGAAAAACAGCUUCACACCUUCAUUUCAUUUCAAUAAUCGUCUGCAAGACUAAACCACUUAUCUUAUCCUUCCCUUCCUGUUGUCUUCGAUGCAGGGCCAUCCAUUCUUGAGCGUGUAUGAUGACCUGCAUGCAGGUAGGAUUGGAUCUCCCCUGGCCACCUUCAAACCACUUAUCUGGUCUCAAGGUUCUUCAUGGCCUUGACUCUCAAAGAUCAGAGUAUUCUUGUCAAUGGGGAUAUCAAUGAAGGCUUGCUUCGCCUUUGUCACAAGCUUCAUCGUUUAAGGAAAGAAUAUGCAUACACAUUUGAAAGCACAAGCUUAUCUUAUCAGUGUUCUGAGGUUAGCAGGAUCUUGCAAGGCUAGGGACCCAGGGGCUACACAUCUUAUAACUGAAAAACACAUGAGCAGUUUAUGAGGUUGUCAAGUUUUCAUUUCAAUGCAAAUCCAGCUGGACAACACCAUGUCACAAAGCAGUGUGCUUCUAGAUACAGUUCAGUCUUGGCGUCAUCGAAUCAAUGAAACAUGAAGUUAGAAGCACACUGAGAUCCAGUGGCUUGUGACCCCUUGACCCUUUAGAGGAAGCGCACUAGAGUCAUUGGCAAGAAGAAGAGGAUCGCCAAGAAGUCUGAGGCUGCCGAGUACCAAAAGCUUCUUGCUCAGAGGCUGAAGGAACAGAGAGACCGCGAGAGCUUGGCCAAGAGGAGGUCCAAGCUUUCUGCCGCUUCCAAGGCUUCCGCUGCCACCGCCGCUUAAGAAUGUUCGAUGCUUUGAGAUGUUUCAAGACCUAUCUUGUUACACCUUAAAUACCUUAUGCUACUCUGAUUGUGUUGCAACUUGCAACUGCCCCUGUACUUGAUAGAUUUGUAUUAGAUGCUCAAGCUACAGAGGGUAGGUUCCUAAUUAUGACCAUAUGACUAUGUA